rnacentral:rRNA from 1 species
UGGGGAAUAUUGCGCAAUGGGCGAAAGCCUGACGCAGCGACGCCGCGUGGGUGAUGAAGGCCUUCGGGUCGUAAAGCCCUGUCGGGAGGGAAGAAACCUCGAUGGCCCAAUACGCCAUCGACCUGACGGUACCUCCUAAGGAAGCACCGGCUAACUCCGUGCCAGCAGCCGCGGUAAUACGGAGGGUGCAAGCGUUGUUCGGAAUCACUGGGCGUAAAGCGCGUGUAGGCGGCCUUUUAAGUCUGGUGUGAAAGCCCGGGGCUCACCCCCGGAAGGGCACUGGAGACUGGAAGGCUAGAGUACCGGAGAGGAAGGUGGAAUUCCUGGUGUAGCGGUGAAAUGCGUAGAUAUCAGGAGGAACACCGGUGGCGAAGGCGGCCUUCUGGACGGCUACUGACGCUGAGACGCGAAAGCGUGGGGAGCAAACAGG